ACUUCAAAUUAUGUUCAGUGUAUACUGCUCAGGUAAUAGGCACACCAAAAUCUCAGAAAUCACCACAAAAGAACUUAUUCAUGUAACCAAAUACCAUCUGUUCUCC